GGGUAAUUGGGGAUCCAUGUGCAAAUAGAGAAUCCGAAGCACAUUAUCAUGAAGUCCAGUCUUCUUAGAAGAUAACAGAAUACGCUCCAUUAUUGGAAAGACAAAGGUAAACGAAUCUACGGGAAGAGGUCCAGAUUUACAAGAGACAGAUAAUCCAUAAAUUAUUCUUUCAAAAAGACCCAUGGAUGGGCUUUCAUUGGCUUCCUC
rnacentral:misc_RNA from 1 species